UCCUAUGAUGGCAUGAAAUCUUUGAGACCUUAUUAUCCUUAUGAUGCCAAUUAUAAGCAUGUUUCAGAGGAC